GUUUCUGCUGUUGGGUUGGAGCCAUCAGCAUCUAAAGAUGGAUUGACCUAUCAUGGGAACAAAUGAGACGUGAGAGAGAAUAAAAUCCAUGCGAGGAUGUUCUGCAUUCUCUAGAGUUCCAGCUGUUCAGCCCUCAAAUUCCCUCCUUGCUUGAGACUGAAAGCACCUGAAAAACAGUGUUUUAAUCUUGUCUGCACCUCAUGAGUUUCACUGAAUCAACUCAGAAAUCACCCUCCUCAAAAAGCACUUAGGAGUGACUGAAUCACCCUCCAGAAGGAAAUCCCCACUGACUGCACAGAGGCUGUUCCACCCACAGACCUUUCACUUAGCAUCUUUGAAAAGGGAGGAAACUUCUGAUACUACUUCUUCUUGGAGCAAUCAGAGUGAAUAUAAGAUGGCGGAAGAGGGACUGACUGACAGAACGAUGUCUGACAUGGAAUUUCCAUGAACAUAAAUAGGAAGAAUUGCUUCUAGAGUGACAUACAUAUAUGAAGCCCAAUACAAUUUCCAUUCAUUAAAUGUGGCCCAGGAAACAUGGGAUUUGAUGGUGUGAACCACUGAAGGGGAAAGGUCGAAUAGUCUC